CCUACGGGUGGCAGUAGUGAGGAAUAUUGGUCAAUGGCCGAGAGGCUGAACCAGCCAAGUCGCGUGAGGGAAGACGGCCCUACGGGUUGUAAACCUCUUUUGUCGGGGAGCAAAGCGAACCACGUGUGGUUCAUUGAGCGUACCCUAAGAAAAAGCAUCGGCUAACUCCGUGCCAGCCGCCGCGGUAAUACGGAGGAUGCGAGCGUUACCCGGAUCUAUUGGGUUUAAAGGGUGCGCAGGCGGAGGUGUAAGUCAGCGGUCAAAUUCCGGGGCCCAACCCCGUACUGCCGUUGAAACUGCAUCCCUUGAGUGCGCGAGAAGUAUGCGGAAUGCGUGGUGUAGCGGUGAAAUGCAUAGAUAUCACGCAGAACUCCGAUUGCGAAGGCAGCAUACCGGCGCGCAACUGACGCUCAUGCACGAAAGCGUGGGUAUCGAACAGGAUUAGAUACCCUAGUAGUC
rnacentral:rRNA from 1 species